AGAGAGAGAGAGAGAGAGAGAGAGAGAGCAAAUGCCAGCUCUUUUGCUGCAGAAAGGCACUGCCUUUACUGAGGCCAGACCUUGCAGACCAUGAUCUGGGGUAUCAAACCUGGGACUUCCUGAAUGCUACGACUUCUCAGAGCAUUUACUCUAUCUUGUAAACUUAGACUUCACCCUUCAGAAUGGGUCUGUUUGGAAUAACUGCGCUGCCCAAUACUCUUAAGGAAAUGAUACAAACACUGUUGCUGAAGGAGUUACUUUUAAAUUCCAUGUAGUGCGACUGGGUAAGUCUCCCCUAACAGAACCCUCCAGCGGAAUGCUGAUGAGGGGGUUGGCCUGGAUGCAGUGUACAGAAUGGAUUCUCUUGAAGCAGGGUUCAAAGUUGCUUUGCUAAAAUGGAUCACUAAAAGGAAAGAAAGAAAAGAGAAGAGAAGAAGAGAAAGGAGGGGAGGGGAGGGGAACACACACACACACACACACACACACACACACACACACACACUUUCCAUGCUGCAGAAAUACUGAAAUACCUGAGUUGUCAUCCCCAGGAACACUGUCCACCUCCCCUGAGUCAGGCUAUAUCGACUUAGAGCUUACACAGUAGUCUUGAGUGGCUGAUGAUUGGCUGGUGGUGAGCCCAGGGGUACUGCUACUUCUGCUUCCUUAGUGCUUGGAUUACAAACUCACCACUAUACUGGCUUCUUUGCAUGGGGUCGGGAGGUCUAGCUUUGCCACCAUGUGCUUGGGAGACAAAUCGGUGACUGACCGAGCCAUCUCUCAGAAGUGAUGUUUUAAUGACCCUUAAGGGAGGGAUUCUUCAGUUUCCCACAGUCCUCGCUCUUCCCUCUCCUUACCUUACUUCAUUAUUCACAUUCUUUCCUGGCAAGCCCUAACCAACCAAGUCUGUAGUCUUUGCUUUAAGUAUCCAUAGCAACAUUUGCAUAAGACAGCACAUUUGCAACACAUGGUGGAAGUCUCUCUCUUUCCUCUCAAAAACUGCAAUCAUAAGAAAAGCUGAAGUCCAAUUUCUACGUGGCAGCUUCUGCAGUAGGUACUUUAUGCACACUGUUCCAUCUGAGCCCCUUACUGUCCGGUAGUUUGUUACUAACUCUGGCAUAUAACUAAGAGACUGAGAUUGGGAGGUUAAAGCAAAAAGGUCAAACCCUAAACUGUCCUCUUAUAUACAAUUAAUUCAGAAACAUGAGUUAAAUUAACGUGGUGACAAAGGGGCUUUUGUUACAAGCUUUCACUAUUUUUCUUACAUUCAACAAUGAAUUAUGACAUCAGAUGAGAUCAGCACUUCUGAGAAGUCGGGAUUAAUUUCAAUGGAACCAUAGGCAUAUUUGGAAUACUACUGAUCUUCGGGGCGGCUCAUGUUGCCUGUGAAGGCGAUUGUGAAGUUACUCUGAGAGAAACUUCAUUUACCAUGGCAGAAGACCCACGAGCUUGAACUUGACUCUUUCCCUGACUGUUUAGCACCAAAUCAAUGUGAACUCAGCACCUGAGGUGUGUUGGUCUACGGCUGCCCUUGAUCAGAAUACCCGGUGAAUUACCUCUGAGAGUCAACCCAUGCCCAAAGACUGUUGGUAUAAGCAGCUUGAUAUUUUAUGCCAUUUUUAAAAUCUGUGUUUGAGGUGGGGCUUGUCCAUGUUUGUAGGGGCCAGAGGUCAACCUCAGGUAGACUCUACCUUGAUUUCUCAGACAAUGUGUCUCAGUGGCCUGGACCUCACCAAGUCGGCCAGAGAAGCCCAAGUAUCUGAUGUUUCUAACCUCCCCAGUGGUGGGAUUAAGAUGGCACCAGCCCUGCAAGCUUCUUUCUGUGGGCUCUGGGCAUUGAACUCAGGUCCCCGUUCUUAUAUAGCAAGCACCUCACUAACUGAGCCAUCUCCCCAGUUCCACAUUUCUGUGUCUCCAACAAUUAAUUACAUUCCCACUCUGUUCUCCCUUUGCCCCAUACUCUUAAAGUAACAGGCAGAAUGGUCUCAUUUCUGAGAAAAGAAAUUUUAUUUGAUUUUACUGGUUUUCCAGCCCCAUCCGAGAAUGCUGUUCUGGUCUGAGCUAUUUAAAACGCAUAGCCUCCGAUUCCCAGUUCUGAAAGCUAACACUUUGCCAAGCACCUCCUAGCUACAAAGUGACCUUGACACAUGUCAUUCAGCAGGGUUUCAAAUCAAAGUCAUCCUGUUUAAUAUUCAUAAAGACCUUUUUUUUUCUUCCUAACAGCAUAUGUAGCGAUUUUACAAGGGCUAGGGUUGGGAGCUUUAUUUAGAGAUGGGUUGUAUUCUGAGAAACGUACCAUCAGCAUCUCUCCGAUGAACUGAAGUAUUAGUUUGGAGGUAGGGAAAUUUCGUUUGGCAUUCUUCGAGGGAAGAGAGUGAAGUGCUCGAUCCUGACAGGUUUUUCUCAUUGGGGGUUUCCUGGGCUGGUCCAUCUGUGAUACUGAAUUCGGAUACUGAAUUUAUUACGAUAGCAUUAAUAGGUUUCUCGUCUCCAUGCUUUUCGUUCGUGAGUUGUGUAUCUAGAGGAAAAAAAGAAAACACACAUAUACAAACCCACUGUGAUCUAAGAUGGGACAUUUGCAGGAAAAUUUACAUUUUGCACUUGGAGAAAAUAAAGUCCCAUGAAAGGGAAUACAACAUUAUCAAACAAGGUUAUUUUGAGAUAGAAUUGAAAAGUACAAUCACAAAUUUUUAUAUACACUAAAUUUCUCAUUAAUUUGAAACAUAUUUUUCUACUAUCAGUUUUUCAGAUGGUGAGUUGGGCCAACCAAAGAACUCAUUCACUUAGAUCAACAAGAUGUUACUGUGUUGGCAUCUGUAUCAUAGAAUACUAUGGAUAUGAGAAACCAGGUGAUUCUGGAAACUUCCAAUGGUCUCAAUAAAAUCACUAUUCAUUU
rnacentral:lncRNA from 1 species